rnacentral:rRNA from 1 species
CAAGGGGNGGGGGCANGCGUUGUUCGGAAUUACUGGGCGUAAAGGGCGCGUAGGCGGUUUCGGAAGUUAUGGGUGAAAGCCCCCGGCUUAACUGGGGAAUGGCCUGUAAAACCACGGGACUGGAGUGCUGGAGAGGGAAGUGGAAUUCCCAGUGUAGCGGUGAAAUGCGUAGAUAUUGGGAGGAACACCAGUGGCGAAGGCGGCUUCCUGGACAGACACUGACGCUGAGGCGCGAAAGCCAGGGNGAGCGAACGGGAUUAGAUACCCCGGUAGUCCUGGCUGUAAACGAUGAAUACUUGGUGUGGGGGGUAUAGAAGUCCCUCUGUGCCGAAGAGAACUCGAUAAGUAUUCCGCCUGGGGAGUACGGCCGCAAGGCUGAAACUCAAAGGAAUUGACGGGGGCCCGCACAAGCGGUGGAGCAUGUGGUUUAAUUCGACGCAACGCGAAGAACCUUACCGGGGUUUGAACUGUAUCGGCAACCUGUCUAGAAGCAGGGUUUCCUUAGGGGACUGAUACAGAGGUGCUGCAUGGCUGUCGUCAGCUCGUGUCGUGAGAUGUUGGGUUAAGUCCCGCAACGAGCGCAACCCUUGUCUGUAGUUGCCAUCAGGUUAAAGCUGGGCACUCUACGGAGACUGUCGGCGAAAA